CUGCAAACUGGAGGGUUGGUUGGAAAUUUGAAUAUGGAGCAGUUAACACCCCUAGAACCCUGUCAAGUCUGGGCAGGCUGGCGACUGCUGCCCCUCCCCCAUGCACCCUAGUGGAGAGCUGGGGGCUUGGGCUGCAGGGGGAGUUCAUCCAGAGAGGCUCUGAACUGGGAGACGCCUCAGUGAGAAUGCUUACAUCCACACGCUUUUCCAUACGCUGCCCCCAAAACGCUUUGUCAGUCUCUCACCUCCUGGCUUGAGAAUAAAGGAUUUCUCUCUAAGGAAACCAACCAAGCCAAUGGCAAAGACCUACAGAUACUGCCAUCUGGGGCUCCCAGUGGACCAGCUGGACCCCCAGCCCAGCACCCUACAGCGAGGCCCACAGUGGGCGAGUCCUUCCCGCACAAGGAAAGCUCCCCAGUCAGACCUGAGUGCCCCGCUCUUCAAUGUGAGUGGACAGCUGAGGAUCACUUAGGCCUCUGAGGAAAGUCUGCGCUUGAAAGUUACCCGAAUAAACAGAAGGUGAGAAGCAGGAAGGAAGGGACUUAAGGCAGGGAGAAAACUUUUUAAAAGAGUAAUUGAUAUUCCCAGAAAACUAAGAGAAGAUACCACAUCCAAAAAGUAAGGAACAAUAUUUCAUGUAAUUUUUUCCCCAGCUUUUUUUGUUGUGACUGCUGUCGAACUGAUUCCGACUCCUAGCGACCCUGUGGACAGCAGACUGCAACCCUGCCUGGGUUUUUGGUGCCAUCUCUCCCCUUCCGGCGCUAUAUCAGACAAUGAAUGCUCGACUGCUAUUUGUGGGGUCUUUUGGAAGUGGGUGACCAGGCCCUUUGUCCCAGUCUGUCUGAGUCUGGAAAUCCUGCUGAAGCCUGUCUACCACACCACAGUGUGACAACUGACAGACAGGUGGUGUGGCUCUCUGACUGGAAACAAACCCGGGCAACGGCAAUGAGAGUGCCAGAUCUUAACCCCUGGACCAUCUUUCCACCUUUACCGAAGACAUAACUGGCAUACGACAUUGUGCGGAGGGACGGGAUGGAUCCCGACCAGGAGGUCCUGCCUGGAGCCUCAGGCUGUAAGCUCGUGUUAUAGUCACUCAGCAUCUAUUAAGCAUCUGCCAUGGGCCAGGCCCUCUUCUCAGCACUGGGAACACAUCAAUGGACCAAAGAGACAAAGCCCCGACUUGGUGGAUCUAUAUUCUAGUGUUUAUCUUUGAAGCCUCACGUUUUACUCGAAACCAUCACAGAAGGAGCUGCCACCUGAAGGGACACAGCCCCGCCUGGAGGAGAGCAGAACCUGGGAAGGGGGCAAGUUCAAAGGCACUGGAGACCCAGAGACGACUGCAGAGGUGAGAUGCCCGUCCUCAUGGAGCUGCCCUCGAGUAGGGGCGUCACAGGACAAACCCGUAAACCUGUUACCCACUUUAACAAGAUAAUUCCGACUGGUGAGAAGCACCAUGAAGAAAGCAAAGCAGAGUCAUCGGAUGGAGCGUGAUGGACAGAGGCCACUUUUGGAAGGUCCUUCUAGGCAGACAGAGAGGAGAGAGGUUUAUAGUCAUUCCAGUUGGAAGGACAAAACGACGGAAGAGAGAAAUGUGUUUAAAGGAGACCAGCCAGAAUGAGACAAACUGCA
ensembl:lncRNA